GUCCUAGCCGUAAACGAUGCAUACUGGAUGUAGGAGGGCUCAACCCCUUCUGUAUCGGAGCUAACGCGUUAAGUAUGCCGCCUGGGGAGUACGCUCGCAAGGGUGAAACUCAAAAGAAUUGACGGGGGCCCGCACAAGCAGUGGAGCAUGUGGUUUAAUUCGAUGCAACGCGAAGAACCUUACCCAGGCUCGAAGUGUAGAGAAAACAGCAGAGAUGUUGCGUCCCGAAAGGGGCUCUAUAUAGGUGCUGCAUGGCUGUCGU
rnacentral:rRNA from 1 species